ACGGUCUGGGGAAAGGUUCCUGUGUGGUCGCACCUGCCCUCGGUCGGUGCAGCCUCGUACCAGGCAGCCCCACCUUGACCUAAAGUAAAUUCCUGGGAGAAGUGUCUUCUGGGGUUGAAAUUUGCAGUAACAGGUGUGAACAUUCUAGCAGCAGUUUGAUGAUCAUGUAUGAUACUGCAAACAGGA
ensembl:scaRNA